rnacentral:rRNA from 1 species
GAUGAACGCUGGCGGCGUGCCUAACACAUGCAAGUCGAGCGAUUCUCUUCGGAGAAGAGCGGCGGACGGGUGAGUAACGCGUGGGUAACCUGCCCUGUACACACGGAUAACAUACCGAAAGGUAUGCUAAUACGAGAUGAUAUAUAAAAGUUGCAUGACUUUUAUAUCAAAGCUUUUGCGGUACAGGAUGGACCCGCGUCUGAUUAGCUAGUUGGUAAGGUAACGGCUUACCAAGGCGACGAUCAGUAGCCGACCUGAGAGGGUGAUCGGCCACACUGGAACUGAGACACGGUCCAGACUCCUACGGGAGGCAGCAGUGGGGAAUAUUGCACAAUGGGCGAAAGCCUGAUGCAGCAACGCCGCGUGAGGCGAUGAAGGCCUUCGGGUCGUAAAGCUCUGUCCUCAAGGAAGAUAAUGACGGUACUUGAGGAGGAAGCCCCGGCUAACUACGUGCCAGCAGCCGCGGUAAUACGUAGGGGGCUAGCGUUAUCCGGGAAUUACUGGGCGUAAAGGGUGCGUAGGCGGUCUUUCAAGCCAGAAGUGAAAGGCUACGGCUCAACCGUAGUAAGCUUUUGGAACUGUAGGACUUGAGUGCAGGAGAGGAGAGUGGAAUUCCUAGUGUAGCGGUGAAAUGCGUAGAUAUUAGGAGGAACACCAGUAGCGAAGGCGGCUCUCUGGACUGUAACUGACGCUGAGGCACGAAAGCGUGGGGGGCAAACAGGAUUAGAUACCCUGGUAGUCCACGCCGUAAACGAUGAGUACUAGGUGUCGGGGGUUACCCCCCUCGGUGCCGCAGCUAACGCAUUAAGUACUCCGCCUGGGAAGUACGCUCGCAAGAGUGAAACUCAAAGGAAUUGACGGGGACCCGCACAAGUAGCGGAGCAUGUGGUUUAAUUCGAAGCAACGCGAAGAACCUUACCUAAGCUUGACAUCCCAUUGACCUCUCCCUAAUCGGAGAUUUCCCUUCGGGGACAGUGGUGACAGGUGGUGCAUGGUUGUCGUCAGCUCGUGUCGUGAGAUGUUGGGUUAAGUCCCGCAACGAGCGCAACCCUUGCCUUUAGUUGCCAGCAUUAAGUUGGGCACUCUAGAGGGACUGCCGAGGAUAACUCGGAGGAAGGUGGGGAUGACGUCAAAUCAUCAUGCCCCUUAUGCUUAGGGCUACACACGUGCUACAAUGGGUGGUACAGAGGGUUGCCAAACCGUGAGGUGGAGCUAAUCCCUUAAAGCCAUUCUCAGUUCGGAUUGUAGGCUGAAACUCGCCUACAUGAAGCUGGAGUUACUAGUAAUCGCAGAUCGGAAUGCUGCGGUGAAUGCGUUCCCGGGUCU